UACGUAGGUGGCAAGCGUUGUCCGGAUUUAUUGGGCGUAAAGAGCUCGUAGGCGGCCUGUUGCGUCCGCUGUGAAAUCCCGGGGCUCAACCCCGGGCGUGCAGUGGAUACGGGCUGGCUGGAGGCAGGCAGGGGAGAACGGAAUUCCUGGUGUAGCGGUGAAAUGCGCAGAUAUCAGGAGGAACACCGGUGGCGAAGGCGGUUCUCUGGGCCUGUACUGACGCUGAGGAGCGAAAGCGUGGGGAGCGAACAGG
rnacentral:rRNA from 1 species